CUGGCCAUAUCACAUUCAAACACCAGUUCUCAUACAAUCACUGAAAUUAAGCAACAUUGAGCCUGGUCAAUACCUAGAUGGGUGACCACUUGGGAAUACCAGAUGCUGUAAG
rnacentral:rRNA from 1 species